rnacentral:tRNA from 2 species
UCCGAGGUAGCUCAGCGGUAGAGCGGCCGCCUGUUAAGCGGUUGGUCGUAGGUUCGAUCCCUACCCUCGGAGCCA